UGAACGCUGGCGGCAGGCCUAACACAUGCAAGUCGAACGGUAACAGGAAGCAGCUUGCUGCUUCGCUGACGAGUGGCGGACGGGUGAGUAAUGUCUGGGAAACUGCCUGAUGGAGGGGGAUAACUACUGGAAACGGUAGCUAAUACCGCAUAACGUCGCAAGACCAAAGAGGGGGACCUUCGGGCCUCUUGCCAUCGGAUGUGCCCAGAUGGGAUUAGCUAGUAGGUGGGGUAACGGCUCACCUAGGCGACGAUCCCUAGCUGGUCUGAGAGGAUGACCAGCCACACUGGAACUGAGACACGGUCCAGACUCCUACGGGAGGCAGCAGUGGGGAAUAUUGCACAAUGGGCGCAAGCCUGAUGCAGCCAUGCCGCGUGUAUGAAGAAGGCCUUCGGGUUGUAAAGUACUUUCAGCGGGGAGGAAGGCGAUAAGGUUAAUAACCU
rnacentral:rRNA from 2 species